rnacentral:lncRNA from 1 species
ACCGUCAUUUAUCAGAUGCCAUUCUUAUCUUCUAGUCCUCUUUCUGGGUUUCUCUUCUUAUCUCUUUGCUGAUCAUCCUUCUUUGUAGGUCCUUCAUUUUUUAGUCGAUGCCUUGAACCGCUCGCAUCGAGAGGAGAUGAAUAGGGCCUUGCUUAAAAAAGUCGAGUCUGACACAGCCGCAGCAUGCGAACAAGCCAAAAUGGUCAAGGUAGAGGCUGAUGGG